rnacentral:sRNA from 1 species
AAAAAAAGUAAAAAAAAA